rnacentral:rRNA from 1 species
GAUGAACGCUGACAGAAUGCUUAACACAUGCAAGUCUACUUGAAGCUAACUUCGGUUAGUGGAGGGUGGCGGACGGGUGAGUAACGCGUAAAGAACUUGCCUCACAGUUUGGGACAACAUUUGGAAACGAAUGCUAAUACCGGAUAUUAUGAUACUUCUGCAUGGAAGAAUCAUGAAAGCUAUAUGCGCUGUGAGAGAGCUUUGCGUCCCAUUAGCUAGUUGGAGAGGUAACGGCUCACCAAGGCGAUGAUGGGUAGCCGGCCUGAGAGGGUGAACGGCCACAAGGGGACUGAGACACGGCCCUUACUCCUACGGGAGGCAGCAGUGGGGAAUAUUGGACAAUGGACCAAAAGUCUGAUCCAGCAAUUCCGUGUGCACGAUGAAGUUUUUCGGAAUGUAAAGUGCUUUCAGUUGGGAAGAAGCAAGUGACGGUACCAACAGAAGAAGCGACGGCUAAAUACGUGCCAGCAGCCGCGGUAAUACGUAUGUCGCAAGCGUUAUCCGGAUUUAUUGGGCGUAAAGCGCGUCUAGGUGGUUAUAUAAGUCUGAUGUGAAAAUGCGGGGCUCAACUCCGUAUUGCGUUGGAAACUGUAUGACUAGAGUACUGGAGAGGUAAGCGGAACUACAAGUGUAGAGGUGAAAUUCGUAGAUAUUUGUAGGAAUGCCGAUGGGGAAGCCAGCUUACUGGACAGAUACUGACGCUAAAGCGCGAAAGCGUGGGUAGCAAACAGG